rnacentral:rRNA from 1 species
CAGCAGCCACGGUAAAACGUAGGUGGCAAGCGUUGUCCGGAAUUAUUGGGCGUAAAGGGCUCGCAGGCGGUUUCUUAAGUCUGAUGUGAAAGCCCCCGGCUCAACCGGGGAGGGUCAUUGGAAACUGGGAAACUUGAGUGCAGAAGAGGAGAGUGGAAUUCCACGUGUAGCGGUGAAAUGCGUAGAGAUGUGGAGGAACACCAGUGGCGAAGGCGACUCUCUGGUCUGUAACUGACGCUGAGGAGCGAAAGCGUGGGGAGCGAACAGGAUUAGAGACCCCCGUAGUCCCUGUCUCUUAUAA